GAUUGCAUUUAAACCUCUCUGCAAUCGCGGCUG
rfam:Paludibacter propionicigenes WB4, complete genome.